rnacentral:rRNA from 1 species
UACGGAGGGAGCUAGCGUUAUUCGGAAUUACUGGGCGUAAAGCGCACGUAGGCGGCUUUGUAAGUUAGAGGUGAAAGCCCAGGGCUUAACCCUGGAAUUGCCUUUAAGACUGCAUCGCUUGAAUUGUGGAGAGGUGAGUGGAAUUCCGAGUGUAGAGGUGAAAUUCGUAGAUAUUCGGAAGAACACCAGUGGCGAAGGCGACUCACUGGACACAUAUUGACGCUGAGGUGCGAAAGCGUGGGGAGCAAACAGG